rnacentral:tRNA from 1 species
AAAGGGAGACCUAAUUCCGGUAGGAGACGAAAAAAAAGUAGUCCCAACCAAGAAUCAAUCCCAAAAGGUCGGAGCGAGGCGAAAUUGGCUUUCAAACUAGGUUCUGGGUUCACACAGGACCUGAAUCAGGAACAAGGGCUAUUAGCUCAGGUGGUUAGAGCGCACCCCUGAUAAGGGUGAGGUCCCUGGUUCGAGUCCAGGAUGGCCCACCUGCACAGGUGGCAAAAACAAAGAAAAAGAGCUCCGAAUCAGCACCUUAUCUUACUUAUACAGUAAGAGAGAAUGCUGGCUCUGAGUUCAGAGUCCAGAGGAACCUUGAAAACUGCAUAGAGCUAGGUGAAAAAGCCAAAAAAGAAGACCGCAAG